UUAAUUGAAACCAAAUAGAGGUUCAUCACUGUUAAUGAUGACAAUGAGAAUUCAAAUUCUCCAAUUAAA
rnacentral:tRNA from 1 species